GUUAAUGGGUGCAGCAAACCACCAUGGCACAUGUAUAUCUAUGUAACAAACCUCCACAUGCUGCACAUGUACCUCAGAACUUAAAGUAUGUAAAAAAAGAUCUCAUCGUACCUAAAAUGCUGUAAAAAAGAAAAUCUUCCUUCGAAACUAACUGUAAAUUUUCUAUUCUACUUCGAUUUAGUGUUUUUCUUUUCCAUUGAUCAUCUCCUCUCCCCCUUAUAGGUAAUUUUUAAAAAAACUAAUUGAUGUCACGUGACCUGAAGGAGUACAGACUCAUUUAAAGAAAGAGCACAUUAUUAGAGAGGCUGGAAAAAAGCACCGUGCAUCCCCCAAUGAGGACAAGACUAAUCACAGAGCCAGUGCCAAGCUGUGGAGAUUUCCCUGGAGAGCUCAUCUUUUCAUCACAUGUCACAGCUUCUCUCAGUCAACAUGCUCUCCAGAGCAGCUUCCCUUCCAUCCACAGGCAUCACCAUUCUGGGGAAGGAGCUCUGUAGCAAAAUCCAGCUAGGAGAAGACCAUCCUGGUACAACAGUCUACAGUAGCAGCAGACUAAGAAAACAGAGAGAGACACACCAGCAUGUAGACCAACAAUUGGGAAUUCAUGGUGACUACCUGCCUUGAGUACUUGAGCAAAACAAUGUGGGGUGCCAACAGCCCACGUGUCGUUCCUUCUCAUGCUGUUUGUUGUCUUCUUCAUCCAUCCACAUACAUAGCUAUGACAGGCUUUGGAAGCAUGAGUGUGCUCCCACAGAUGUGUGCAUACACCAACACCAACACAAACACACAUACACACACUGACACAUUUAGAAGGAAGAGUGUCAAUACAGUUUGUCAGUCUGCUUUUGAAAUUCCUGCUUAGCUAGAUCCAGAUACAUAACCCUUAUGAUCACAGAAGCCUGCAAAAUUUUGCAUUAUUGCCUUUCUCUUAGAUUGUUCAGGUGAGGUUAAUUCUGUCACUCCCAUAUCAUCUGUAAAACAAAAUCUCUCAGCUUUGCUCAUUUGCCCAUUUCUGCAAGUCCAGAGAAAUGCAUUCAUUUAUCCAUUCAAAAUUGGUGCAACUGACCCUCGUGAAGGUGGAGAACACCAAGCAGUGAUGGCAUGCAAAGUGUCAAGAAAUCACGGCAGCACGUGGGUUGACUUGGCCCAAGGUCACCAGAAACCAAGAGCUGCCUAUAGUGACAGAGGCCUCAGGCAGAUCAAACGAUGAUGGAUGGACUACAAUGCUGGCCACAGAGUCAAAGAAUUCUAGGGUCCUCUAGGGCUUCUGAGGGGUGGGUGAACUCUUUCUAGCUCUAAAAUUCCACGGUUGUUGGCUCAGAGUCACCUCAGUCUUGCCAGCCACAAAAAAAAAAAAAAGCAAAAUAUUCACUGAAGUGGCAUUGAAUUGACCCAGCCAGAGAUGAAAUGUUCUUUCUUUCCUUGUUUGUCCCCAAGCUGUACUGCAUUCCCCUAGCCACACUUCUGGGAGAGCCAAGAUGGAUGAUGAGGCAUUGCUAAAAUAUUUCGCUGACAAUGAAUAGAAAUGAAGAGAUUGUCAGCAAGGACUUCUGUGGAGGUGGCAGGGACGAUGGGAAAGGGCAAUUGUUUUCUGAAGUACAGUUGUCACUCUGUGUUAAUAACUGCACAUGACCUUUCCGUGACAAAGAUUCUUUGCUGGGUUCCACAGUGAGUGGCCAGAAUGAUUUAAAAUGUGAGCCUUGACAAUGGGGGGACAGUGCAUUUGAGUGAGCAAAGCCCUGUACUGUGUUUUCUCCAAAGCCUUUGCUUGUCAUGGAAGCUCUGUGGAAGGUGAAAAAGAAGGGAAGGGUGAAAAAUAUCACAAGCACCACUCCCCAGAGCACGCUAUGCUUGGUAACUAAAGAGUUUCAUGCUUAAAACUGCAAUUCCAGUUUGUUUUAAAGAUCAAUGAAGGCUCCAUUUCUUCCUUUUGCCUCAGGGAUAAAUGACUAAAAAUAACUCAUAAAUAUUUGUGAAUCUCUCUUUACCGCUAGACCUACCCUAAUCUCCCAAGUUAGACUCCCCUUUCAUUAAAAUUGAUUUCCCAAUUCAACCCCCACUCUUCCCUUGAUGUCUUUGUCCAAUGCUUGUUUUGUAUUCCUCCUGUCAGCUUUCCUAGAGCUUCAUGUGCACUGAUAACCACUAUACCCUGAGCUGCCAGCACCAAUCCCAAGCUCUCUGGAGAGUUUUAUGCUACAUUAUCCUCAGCUGUUGUUUGUCUAGGAUCUUCUCUUCUACUUCUGCAUGAACCCAUCAAGCUUGCCUUGUCUCAAGGAGCAAUGGAAAUUCAAUAUAAAAAUGCUAAUUUAAUAUGGAGACCUAUUAGUCAAAGUCUAAUAGGUUCCAGGGAAUAGCAGGAAGGGUCAACUGUGAGCUUCCCUCCCAAGACACUUUCAGUCCAGCAGCACAGAGACAGCCGGAGGGGAGCUGAGGGAGGAGGCCAUUCAAGAAGACACCUUCCAAACUGAGAUUGCAGGAGUGUGGGACCUAAGAGCAAGGUAGUCCUAAAGGCAAGAUGCCUUAACUUUGCAUAGGCCAAUCUGAGGCCCAAAAGGUGAAAUGAUUUGCUAUUAGCAGAGAUCAGCAGAGUUGGGAAGGUGUAAUAUUAGCAGGAGCUAAUAAUAAUGUUCACAAUAUUUCAUGAACGCUUGUUAAGAGUUAGGACCUGUGCAGAGAGCAUUACAUUCAGUCUGUCAUGUCAUCCUCACUUUAACCCGAGAGGUUGGUCCUAUUAUUAUAUAAGAGUAACUCUUAUAAUUUCCACUUAUAAGGUGGAAAUUAAGAGAUUAAAUUACUUUCCAAGGUCACAGAGUCAGAGAGUCAGAGAGUUAGGCUGAAUCCUGGGUUCUGCCAGCACAGUCUGUGUACCUUUGGCCUUCUACCAUUUUUGUAACUUCCUUCAAAUAAGAAGAAAACAAUAAACUACAAUCAAGUGAAAACACCUUACCCGUAUGCCUGAUUUCCUUGCUCUUGUGAAUCCUGAGCCUGGCCUUUUCUGUUUCAGGACUCCGGGUGUCAUUAAAAGCAUCCAUCACAGAAGAGAUAUUUCCCUAAAGGGCCUUCGUUCCCUCACUUGUAAAAUGAGAGGGUCGGACCAGGUAAUCUCAGAGGUGCUUUCUGGUUCUUACAUACUAUGAUUCCAAACAAGGAUAACUAUCCUUGAAGACUGUAAAUUUCAACCCUUUUUACAAGCCCUACAGAGGAAAGAGAGGAAAGAAAAAUUGAUCACAUGCUUGUGCAAAUUUAAGUAAUAGAGAACAGAGAUGCUACCCUUGUGAAUUCCUGGGUGAUAUGCAUGACUUGGAAAAAGAAGAAAAGUAUUUCAUGUAAUACCAUAGGGCACCUUUAGCUCAGCCUUUCUUCCUGAAAUAAAAAUACAACCGAGGUUUUCAAGUUAGUUGGUGGAUGGAUCACCCUGUUCUCCCUCAUCAUUCUCCUAUGAUUCAACAAACAUUAGAGAGAAAUUUUUCUGCUUAAGUUCCUUCCUACAACAGAAGUAAAUAUCUUACUUUUAUAAAAAUACAUUUCUUAAAGAUAAAAUACAAUUCUACAAUGCUGUUUCAGAUAGAUUUGCCAUAAGUCAGAUAUCCUCGUUCAAAUAAUGGACUAUGAACAUCAUCC
rnacentral:lncRNA from 10 species